AAGUUCAAUGGCAUAAGUACCAAGUUCAACUUUAUUCCAAGAUUUCAAGCACCAUUCAAAACAUGUUCCAAAGAUUUAAAUCUCAUUCUUUUCUCAAGAAUUCCAAGUUUUUUUACAACAAAGAUUCAAACUCAAGAAGAAACUUACAUAAAUUUUCAAAUCAUCAAGAGUUUUCUUUCUAUGCCUAAUUACAAGAGAAACCAUGUUAAUACUUCUUUGUUUAAGUUGCAAGUUACAUUCAAUACAUACAAAAUUCAAGUCUUAUGGCCUAAGUUACAAGUAUCCGCGACAUUUCUUCCUAAGAGCUAG